rnacentral:miRNA from 1 species
CAUGAGACCCGAACUCGUUAUGA